rnacentral:rRNA from 1 species
GCGCGAAAACUUCGCAAUGGGCGAAAGCCCGAUGAGGUUAUUCCGAGUGCCUCCCGCUGAGGGAGGCUUUUCUCAGGUCUAAAUAGCCUGGGGAAUAAGGGGAGGGCAAGUCUGGUGUCAGCCGCCGCGGUAAUACCAGCUCCCCGAGUGGUCAGGACGAUUAUUGGGCCUAAAGCAUCCGUAGCCGGCUCAGUAGGUCUCAUGUUAAAUCCACCGGCUUAACCGUUGGUCUGCAUGGGAUACCGCUGGGCUAGGAGGCGGGAGAGGCGAACGGUAUUCCUUGGGUAGGGGUAAAAUCCUUUGAUCCAGGGAGGACCACCAGUGGCGAAGGCGGUCCGCCAGAACGCGCUCGACGGUGAGGGAUGAAAGCUGGGGGAGCGAACCGG